ensembl:scaRNA small Cajal body-specific RNA 18
UGGCCAAUGAUGACUAGACCACUGCGCAAUCUGAGUUCUGGGAACCAGGUGAUGGAGUGUGCUGUAACAGCAGACUGAGGCCG